AACAAAUCAAUCUUUUAUUUUUUUCCUAUAAUGUUUGACACUCUGUCUUAUUAAAAAAUUUUACGAUUAAUAUUUUUGUUUUAUUAGACGAUAAAUCAUGAAUAGUACUUUUGCGACUAAUUUUUUUAAAUUUUUUAUUUUUUUUUCAAAUAAGACGGAUAGUCAAAUACUGGACACGAAAACCGAAAGAUUGAUUUGUU
rnacentral:pre_miRNA from 1 species